GACGAACGCUGGCGGCGUGCCUAAUACAUGCAAGUCGAACGCAGUUGCGAACGGGUGAGUAACGCGUAGGUAACUGCCUGGCAGCGGGGGAUAACUAUUGGUAACGAUAGCUAAUACAGCAUACUACCAGACGGACCUGCGUUGUAUUAGGUAGUUGGUGGGGUAACGGCUCACCAAGGCAACGUUACUUAGCCGACCUGAGAGGGUGAUCGGCCAAACUGGGACUGGGACACGGGCCAGACUCCUACGGGGGGCAGCCGUAGGGAAUCUUCGGCAAAGGGCGGAAGUCUGACCGAGCAACGCCGCGGGAGUGGAUAAGGUUUUCGGGUCGUAAAGCUCUGUUGUAAGGGAAGCGGUAUCUUACCAGAAAGGGACGGCUAACUACGUGCCAGCAGCCGCGGUAAUAC
rnacentral:rRNA from 1 species